GACGAACGCUGGCGGCGUGCCUAAUACAUGCAAGUAGAACGCACAGUUUAUACCGUAGCUUGCUACACCAUAGACUGUGAGUUGCGAACGGGUGAGUAACGCGUAGGUAACCUGCCUGGUAGCGGGGGAUAACUAUUGGAAACGAUAGCUAAUACCGCAUAAUAUUAAUUAUUGCAUGAUAAUUAAUUGAAAGGUGCAAUUGCACCACUACCAGAUGGACCUGCGUUGUAUUAGCUAGUAGGUGAGGUAACGGCUCACCUAGGCGACGAUACAUAGCCGACCUGAGAGGGUGAUCGGCCACACUGGGACUGAGACACGGCCCAGACUCCUACGGGAGGCAGCAGUAGGGAAUCUUCGGCAAUGGACGAAAGUCUGACCGAGCAACGCCGCGGGAGUGAAGAAGGUUUUCGGAUCGUAAAGCUCUGUUGUAAGAGAAGAACGGGUGUGAGAGUGGAAAGUUCACACUGUGACGGUAUCUUACCAGAAAGGGACGGCUAACUACGUG
rnacentral:rRNA from 1 species